GGGUUGUGAGGUUAAGCGACUAAGCGUACACGGUGGAUGCCCUGGCAGUCAGAGGCGAUGAAGGACGUGCUAAUCUGCGAUAAGCGUCGGUAAGGUGAUAUGAACCGUUAUAACCGGCGAUUUCCGAAUGGGGAAACCCAGUGUGUUUCGACACACUAUCAUUAACUGAAUCCAUAGGUUAAUGAGGCGAACCGGGGGAACUGAAACAUCUAAGUACCCCGAGGAAAAGAAAUCAACCGAGAUUCCCCCAGUAGCGGCGAGCGAACGGGGAGCAGCCCAGAGCCUGAAUCAGUGUGUGUGUUAGUGGAAGCGUCUGGAAAGGCGCGCGAUACAGGGUGACAGCCCCGUACACAAAAAUGCACAUGCUGUGAGCUCGAUGAGUAGGGCGGGACACGUGGUAUCCUGUCUGAAUAUGGGGGGACCAUCCUCCAAGGCUAAAUACUCCUGACUGACCGAUAGUGAACCAGUACCGUGAGGGAAAGGCGAAAAGAACCCCGGCGAGGGGAGUGAAAAAGAACCUGAAACCGUGUACGUACAAGCAGUGGGAGCACGCUUAGGCGUGUGACUGCGUACCUUUUGUAUAAUGGGUCAGCGACUUAUAUUCUGUAGCAAGGUUAACCGAAUAGGGGAGCCGAAGGGAAACCGAGUCUUAACUGGGCGUUAAGUUGCAGGGUAUAGACCCGAAACCCGGUGAUCUAGCCAUGGGCAGGUUGAAGGUUGGGUAACACUAACUGGAGGACCGAACCGACUAAUGUUGAAAAAUUAGCGGAUGACUUGUGGCUGGGGGUGAAAGGCCAAUCAAACCGGGAGAUAGCUGGUUCUCCCCGAAAGCUAUUUAGGUAGCGCCUCGUGAAUUCAUCUCCGGGGGUAGAGCACUGUUUCGGCAAGGGGGUCAUCCCGACUUACCAACCCGAUGCAAACUGCGAAUACCGGAGAAUGUUAUCACGGGAGACACACGGCGGGUGCUAACGUCCGUCGUGAAGAGGGAAACAACCCAGACCGCCAGCUAAGGUCCCAAAGUCAUGGUUAAGUGGGAAACGAUGUGGGAAGGCCCAGACAGCCAGGAUGUUGGCUUAGAAGCAGCCAUCAUUUAAAGAAAGCGUAAUAGCUCACUGGUCGAGUCGGCCUGCGCGGAAGAUGUAACGGGGCUAAACCAUGCACCGAAGCUGCGGCAGCGACGCUGAUGCGUUGUUGGGUAGGGGAGCGUUCUGUAAGCCUGCGAAGGUGUGCUGUGAGGCAUGCUGGAGGUAUCAGAAGUGCGAAUGCUGACAUAAGUAACGAUAAAGCGGGUGAAAAGCCCGCUCGCCGGAAGACCAAGGGUUCCUGUCCAACGUUAAUCGGGGCAGGGUGAGUCGACCCCUAAGGCGAGGCCGAAAGGCGUAGUCGAUGGGAAACAGGUUAAUAUUCCUGUACUUGGUGUUACUGCGAAGGGGGGACGGAGAAGGCUAUGUUGGCCGGGCGACGGUUGUCCCGGUUUAAGCGUGUAGGCUGGUUUUCCAGGCAAAUCCGGAAAAUCAAGGCUGAGGCGUGAUGACGAGGCACUACGGUGCUGAAGCAACAAAUGCCCUGCUUCCAGGAAAAGCCUCUAAGCAUCAGGUAACAUCAAAUCGUACCCCAAACCGACACAGGUGGUCAGGUAGAGAAUACCAAGGCGCUUGAGAGAACUCGGGUGAAGGAACUAGGCAAAAUGGUGCCGUAACUUCGGGAGAAGGCACGCUGAUAUGUAGGUGAAGUCCCUCGCGGAUGGAGCUGAAAUCAGUCGAAGAUACCAGCUGGCUGCAACUGUUUAUUAAAAACACAGCACUGUGCAAACACGAAAGUGGACGUAUACGGUGUGACGCCUGCCCGGUGCCGGAAGGUUAAUUGAUGGGGUUAGCCGCAAGGCGAAGCUCUUGAUCGAAGCCCCGGUAAACGGCGGCCGUAACUAUAACGGUCCUAAGGUAGCGAAAUUCCUUGUCGGGUAAGUUCCGACCUGCACGAAUGGCGUAAUGAUGGCCAGGCUGUCUCCACCCGAGACUCAGUGAAAUUGAACUCGCUGUGAAGAUGCAGUGUACCCGCGGCAAGACGGAAAGACCCCGUGAACCUUUACUAUAGCUUGACACUGAACAUUGAGCCUUGAUGUGUAGGAUAGGUGGGAGGCUUAGAAGUGUGGACGCCAGUCUGCAUGGAGCCGACCUUGAAAUACCACCCUUUAAUGUUUGAUGUUCUAACGUUGACCCGUAAUCCGGGUUGCGGACAGUGUCUGGUGGGUAGUUUGACUGGGGCGGUCUCCUCCUAAAGAGUAACGGAGGAGCACGAAGGUUGGCUAAUCCUGGUCGGACAUCAGGAGGUUAGUGCAAUGGCAUAAGCCAGCUUGACUGCGAGCGUGACGGCGCGAGCAGGUGCGAAAGCAGGUCAUAGUGAUCCGGUGGUUCUGAAUGGAAGGGCCAUCGCUCAACGGAUAAAAGGUACUCCGGGGAUAACAGGCUGAUACCGCCCAAGAGUUCAUAUCGACGGCGGUGUUUGGCACCUCGAUGUCGGCUCAUCACAUCCUGGGGCUGAAGUAGGUCCCAAGGGUAUGGCUGUUCGCCAUUUAAAGUGGUACGCGAGCUGGGUUUAGAACGUCGUGAGACAGUUCGGUCCCUAUCUGCCGUGGGCGCUGGAGAACUGAGGGGGGCUGCUCCUAGUACGAGAGGACCGGAGUGGACGCAUCACUGGUGUUCGGGUUGUCAUGCCAAUGGCACUGCCCGGUAGCUAAAUGCGGAAGAGAUAAGUGCUGAAAGCAUCUAAGCACGAAACUUGCCCCGAGAUGAGUUCUCCCUGACCCUUUAAGGGUCCUGAAGGAACGUUGAAGACGACGACGUUGAUAGGCCGGGUGUGUAAGCGCAGCGAUGCGUUGAGCUAACCGGUACUAAUGAACCGUGAGGCUUAACCUUACAACGCCGAAGCUGUU
rnacentral:rRNA from 1 species